UUUUUUUAAAUGUUGUUUUACAGAGAACAUUUAUCUAUUUAUUGACGUGUUGUAUUUUAAAAGGUAACUUGUCCCCUAUAAGGGGGCAACAUAUUAAAUGGAUUUUUAGCACCGGGACUAGAGACGAGGGGCUUGCUCCGUCCACUCCACGCAUCGACCCGGUAUUGCAGUGCCUCCGGGGGCGGUGCACCCUUC